rnacentral:lncRNA from 1 species
ACAAAAAUUAGCUGGGCAUGGUAGCCCGCACCUGUAAUCCCAGGUAUGGAUCAGUGGCUACUAUGUGCCAGAUCUCAGCAAGACAGAGGAGGAUGAAGAGGUUAAUAAGACGCAGGGAUCAUCCUGCUGGAAUGGAAGUCACAGGGGAGGGGCUAAGGGGACCAGGAACAUGGGACAAGGGCACCUGGCACAGCCUGGGGCAGAGUCGCCGCUGAGGAAACAGCUGGGUCAGGCUGGGCCUUCUCUACAUGGUUGCAGGCUGGGCACCAAUAUUUCCUAUGGGCUUUGGGGCUCUGGCAGUCCAGGCGUCUGUGCCUGCACCACCUUAUCUCCUGUUGAAGGGCUCCCCAUCAGCCUGGAACAGGGCAGGUGCCCAUGUGUGCUGAUUGUGCCAUGGUUAGGUCUGAAGCCAGACCGCCUGGUAUUCAAAUCCCACUUCUGUCACUUUCUAACCUGAUGACCUUGGGCAAAUCAUUUUACCUCCCAAAGCUUCAGUUUCUUCAUCUGUAAAAGGGGGAUUAUAAUAACCCCUAACUCAUAGGAUUGUGUGACGGUUCAGUGAUGUAAUAAUAAUUUAGGUAAAGCAUCCAACAGUGCCUGGAACUGUGAAUCAUGAGAGCUACAAAUAGUGUCAUUAUAACCAUCAUCACCAUUGCACUGUCCAAAGAAACUUCUCCGGUGUUGCGAAGGUAGCAGAGGGUGUGACUGGAUGCGGGUGAUGGACACAGAUAUAAAAGGCGCGAAGGGCUGCUAUGAUGAACGCUAACCUGAGGACAGAGGGAAGAAAUUGCAUCCUGAAGCAAUCCAUUCAUUCAUUCAUCAUUCACUAAUUUAAUCAGCCUUCACCACACAAACCUGCGAUGUGCAGGGUUCUGAGCUGGGUCCCAAGGACAUGAGGACAACUUGGCAGGUACUUUCUACCAUCAAGGGCACACGACAUUGCUGAGGACAGAAAUAGUGCAAGGUGGGGAGGUGGCAGGUUACAAGAUAAAGAAGCUAUAGUCAAUUGCCAGUUAGAAAGAGUACUGGGAAAAUAGCAAUAAUAGCUACCAUAGAAACUGUGCAAGUACUAGGUGAAGAGGCCUGUGAAACUAACUUACUGCAAGGCUUGAAUAAAUAGAGACAUUCGCGGCCAGGUGCAGUGGCUCAUGCCUGUAAUCUCAGCACUUUGAGAGGCUGAGGCGGGGGUAUCACAAGGUC